UAGCUAUUGUAAUGUUUAAAAUCAUUGAGCUUAGCAUUGUUUUGAUGCUUGGGCUCCAUGAUUUAUUUAUUUAUUUAGUAGCACAAAGACACAUAAGAUAUAUAAAAGAAGUGACUGACUGAAUUAUGCAGGAGAGGUAAGAAACCCCCAAGGGCUUAUAGUGAAACAUCCACUCUGGAUUUUCAAUUGAUAUUAUAAACAAUUAUUAUAAAUAAUAAUAAAAUAAUAAUAAUAAUAAUAAUACUGACAAACGAUUAAGCAAAAUAUACACAACAUAUAUACUGAAAUUUUAACCAUGACAUAAGUAUUUUCUCAUGCUUGACUUAAAUGCUGACAAUUCAAUUCAAUUUUAUUAUAUAGCGCCAAAUCACAACAACAGUUAUCUCACAGCGCUUUUCAUAAAAGAGCAGGUCUAGACCGUACUCUGUGAUGUUAUUUACAGAAACCCAACAGUUCCAACCAAGAGCAAGCACUAGGCGACAGAGGCAAGGAAAAACUUCCUUUUAAGAGGCCGAAACCUCGAGCAGAACCAUGGCUCAGGGUGGACGGCCAUCUCCUGCGUCUGCGAACAGGGCGAGAGGCGUGUCUGCGUCUGCGUGACAGUGUGAACAAACAGCUUGCUGGAUGUAACAGCUUCUAUUUACAAGCUCACAGUGGCAACGUCUAUUUAUGUCACUGAUGAUGCAGAACUUCUAUUGCAGAACUUGUGACAUCAUCCGCGACAUCAUGGUAUAUAGUGAUGUAACUAAUAAUUAAGCCAACAUUUCUCAUGGAGACACUGUGACAUCAUUAGUGACACAUUAGAAGUUGCCAUGGGGAGCUUAUAAAUAGACCCCGAUACAUCCUGAAACCUGUGUUUUGACCAUGCCAUGCUCACACAGACACGCCGCUCGCCCUGUUCGCAGACGUCGGAGACCCCACAAAUCUUCGGCUGUCCGCAGACGUAGGAGAGCUGUCCGACGCAGACGCUAGACAAACUGUAUUAAACAUGUAGCCCAAGCAUCAAAACAAAACUCAGCUCAGUGAUUUUAAACAUAACAAUAGCUAAAUAAGUUGUGUUGCAUUUUCUCUUUUUAAAACAUUACAUGAAAAAAGAUAUAAACCUGAAGCCGCAUAAACACUUACACACAGAAUCUGGAGCGUUCAUGGGAGACUUAAUUACAUCAGCUUCAUCAUGAAGUUCCUUUGCUGACAUCAUCAGUGACAUCAUGGAAUCCAAAGAUGUCACUAAUGAUUAAGCCAUCAAUUCUAAUGCAGAAACUGUGACAUCAUGGAAUCCAAGGAUGUCACUAAUGAUUAAGCCAUCAAUUCUAAUGCAGAAACUGUGACAUCAUCAGUGACAUAAUAGACGUUGCCACUGUGAGCUUAUAAAUAGAAGCUGUUACAUCCAGCAAGCUGUUUUGACAAUGCCACGCAGACGCAGACAUGCCUCUCGCCCUGUUCGCAGACGCAGGAGACCUCGCAAGUCCUACCGUGAGGUGUCACACCUGUCUGCACAAUGCGCAUGUUGGAUGUUGGGUUUCUGUAAAUAAUAUCGUAUGGUCUAGAGCAGCACUUUUAUGAGCGCUACUCUAACUAACUGUUGUCGUGAUUUGGCGGUAUAUAAAUAAAAUUGAAUUGAAUUGAA